AGUGAAUAGAUACCCUGGUAGUCCUAGCCGUAAACGAUACUCGCUAGGUGUCGGCCACGGUGCGACCGUUGUCGGUGCCGUAGGGAAAGCCGUGAAGCGAGCCACCUGGGAAGUACGGCCGCAAGGCUGAAACUUAAAGGGAAUUGGCGGGGGAGCACCACAACGGGUGGAGCUUGCGGUUUAAAUUGGAUUCAACGCCGGAAAUCUUACCGGGACCGACAGCAACAUGAAGGCCAGGCUGAAGACCUUGCCGGAUUAGCUGAGAGGUGGUGCAUGGCCGUCGUCAGUUCGUACUGUGAAGCAUCCUGUUAAGUCAGGCAACGAGCGAGACCCACGCCCACAGUUGCCAGCGUACUCUCCGGAGUGACGGGUACACUGUGGGGACCGCCGCUGCUAAAGCGGAGAAGGAAUGGGCAACGGUAGGUCAGUAUGCCCCGAAUAUCCCGGGGCUACACGCGAGCUACAAUGGUUGGUACAAUGGGUAUCUACCCCGAAAGGGGAUGAAAUCUCCUAAAGCCAAUCUAGUUCGGAUUGAGGGCUGCAACUCGCCCUC
rnacentral:rRNA from 1 species